rnacentral:lncRNA from 1 species
UGUUAAAUCUUGGCAUGACAUUAUUGACCUCCUUACUGUCAGGUCGCUCAAAUUCUGCUCAGAGGGCCAGUGGGACAGGGAUGUUCACAAGGUCCUUCAUAUAACGACCUGGGACCAGCAAAACUUUAUUGAAGAUGGUCUCCAUCACAUUUUCCACAUAAUCUGCACCAUAACACGAGAAUUACUAAUUACCCGUCAACAGACUAAAAUGUCAAAAUAAGUUGACCAACUGCAUACAGAGUAAAAAUAUAGACAAUAAUAUAGAUCAGAUUAUGAAUUCCCAAAACUACUGAAAUUUGAAAUGCAAAAUCUCUGUCAAAUAAAACUGCCUAUUGGCCAACAAAUUAUCAAACUGCUGUUAAAUGUACAUACCUUUGCUCCUGAGGUGAGCAACAACUCUUCUACAAGGUAGCCGCGUGUCCACAGCCUGCAGUGGUGUGUCAGUUUGAGAAACAACCUCCUCGCGUUUCGGUAGCUAGGAUGCGUCAGCCUGUAUAAAAAACAAAACAAAAACAUUGUCACAUUUACAGCUACAGUAGAUGACUAGAUAACCAUCACAUACGAGAAGACAGCAACAACAUAUAUGUUAGACUUAGAUAGAACUUGCCAUAGCAUAAAUUCACAGCUCUACUUGGACUACGACAUACACAUGACAGGCUCGGUAGUAAUUAGAAACACAGCUGACUCCCACAACUUACUAUUGCAGCCAAACCCAAGUUGUAUUGAACGUCAUGUGGAGGCUAGUGCUAGCCGCUAACGCUAGCCGCUAACGCUUGUAAUGGAAAAAUUGUGCCUUUGUGCUGUUUCUUAUCCAACACAGUCGUCAUGUGCUGGUUAGGUGCAAUACUGAACAUUUAGAUACAAAAGAUGAGAUUUGAAAAAGCAAAACUAUCAAAACUAAACCCCUAAAAAGAAACAAAAGAGAGAUGAAAGUAACAAAAAGAAAGGAGAUAACAACUCUGGGGAAGAAUUGUUUGCACUCUGCCACACACACCACACACCACACACACACCACACACACACAUAUCAUUUCAAGAGCAAAUGCUCCCAUUGUUUCUGCUCCCUAUUCUAAUGCAGAACUGAGUCCAGAUCCGGAUUUACCCUCAUCGCGCUCAGUUCUGCAU